rnacentral:rRNA from 1 species
UCCGAGAUGAGACUUCCCUUGAGGGUCGUGGGAGACUACCACGUUGAUAGGCAGGAGAUGUAAGUGCAGCAAUGUAUUCAGUCGACCUGUACUAAUGGCCCGAGAUCUUUCCGGAU